CGGGGCGUGGCGCAGUCUGGCAGCGCGCCAGCUUUGGGAGCUGGUUGCCGGAGGUUCAAAUCCUCUCGCCCCGACCA
rnacentral:tRNA from 1 species